GUCGUACAUCAAGAGAGGGCUAACGCUCCGCCAACCUGCCCACCCGGGCAAGGUGGUACCCGAAAGGGGAUGUGGCCGACCCGGCAACUAUACGGGCAAUC
rnacentral:ncRNA from 2 species